rnacentral:rRNA from 1 species
CACGUAGGGGCCAAGCGUUGUCCGGAUUCAUUGGGCGUAAAGAGCUCGUAGGCGGUUCAGUUAGUCGGGUGUGAAAUCUCCGGGCUCAACCCGGAGGGGCCACCCGAUACUGCUGUGACUUGAGUCCGGUAGGGGAGUGGGGAAUUCCUGGUGUAGCGGUGAAAUGCGCAGAUAUCAGGAGGAACACCGGUGGCGAAGGCGCCACUCUGGGCCGGUACUGACGCUGAGGAGCGAAAGCGUGGGGAGCAAACAGG